rnacentral:lncRNA from 1 species
AAGAAAACAAAAUGUGGAUGCAGUCUCCUAAUGUUAAUCUUUUUGUUUUCAUCCUGUGUUCAAAAAUGUAUGCUCAUUUUUGUGCUUUUUUUUUUUAACAGGAAAUUGGAUUCCCAAGUUUAAUUGAAAGUGUUGGUGAUGCAACAGUUAGUGGCUGCACCAUUAACCUCAAGACGAUUCUGAAGUUUAAUAACAAGUCAGCACAGCUAAAGAUGGAAACCAUCUGUGAAUCUUUUAAAAUGAAGAUGGCUCUCAAAAACUCGAUACCACAGCUUAUCAGUAUUGGACUACCAAAACAAUCCACACUCAACAUGGCUGUUGAUUGGAAAAAUGACUUUAAAGGCUUUGCUGAAUUUAACUCAGGUGCUUGCACAUUAAAGAUAUCUGGAAGAAAUAAUCACUUGCAAAGUGGAAUGUCACAGUGGAAUAUUAUAUUGGACCAUACAUGUUCUCUCUUGAAAACGUGGAAUGUUCCACUUCAGAUGGAAAGCAGAGGGCAUGCAUUCUUGUCUAGGUGUCCUGUGGACAUUCUUGUGAUCCUGACAUGGGAUGGCAAGUCCAUGGACUGGAAUUUGAACAUGGUUUGCAAUUCCUUCAGCAUCGAAACGACUUUCCAACACGCUGUGGAACAACUAUAUGAAGCUGGAAUUCCUGACAGAAGCUUUUUAAAUAUCACCGUGCAUGAAGGUGCAGAGUAUCAAAUGUCCACACGUGCACUCACAGGACAAUGUCACAUCCAGAUGCUCGGCACAUUUCGUCCCAAAGAGCAAAUCAACUGGGAGUUGUCUGCUCAGCACACUUGUUUGGCGCUCAUGAACAAAAAGAUCCCGAAGUUCAUGAUGACGAGUGGGUCAUUUGUUCAGAAAGACUGUGCCACACAACCUCGUAUCAAUGCCAAGAUCGAUGAAAACUCUGUGACAUUAGAAACCAAAACGAUGUGUGAACCCAAACUAAAACUGACAAUGAACCUAUUUUACCAUUCAUUGGCUUCACGCAUGGCACGUUCUCCAGUUGGCGCAUAUCCGAAGUGUCAAAUUUAUUUGGAUGCUCAAUUGAAACCCGAAUUAAUAUCUGAAUGGAAAGUAUCAUUGGUCAAUAGUUGUCCACAGAUACAGGGCUUUCGAAUACCCAGCAAGGUCACAAUACAAGGACAAACUGAAUUCAAGCCAAACUUACUUUCCAUGAAUGUGAAUUCUACCAUUGAUGGCACACAAAUCGACUCGACAGUUUCUUACAAGUUUCAUCAGGUAAAAUUCAUGAAAUAUCCACCAGAUUUUCAUUAUCAACAUGUGUUGUGGUUCACAUGACACAGGUAAAUGUAAGACAGAGACAAACA